rnacentral:rRNA from 1 species
CCUACGGGAGGCAGCAGUGAGGAAUAUUGGUCAAUGGACGAGAGUCUGAACCAGCCAAGUAGCGUGAAGGAUGACUGCCCUAUGGGUUGUAAACUUCUUUUAUAUGGGAAUAAAACGUUCCACGUGUGGGAUUUUGUAUGUACCAUAUGAAUAAGGAUCGGCUAACUCCGUGCCAGCAGCCGCGGUAAUACGGAGGAUCCGAGCGUUAUCCGGAUUUAUUGGGUUUAAAGGUAGCGUAGGUGGAUUGUUAAGUCAGUUGUGAAAGUUUGCGGCUCAACCGUAAAAUUGCAGUUGAAACUGGCAGUCUUGAGUACAGUAGAGGUGGGCGGAAUUCGUGGUGUAGCGGUGAAAUGCUUAGAUAUCACGAAGAACUCCGAUUGCGAAGGCAGUUCACUGGACUGCAACUGACACUGAGGCUCGAAAGUGUGGGUAUCAAACAGGAUUAGAUACCCGAGUAGUC